CCACCCACAGGGAUUGCCUUAGUAGCGGCGAGUGAAGCGGCAAAAGCUCAAAUUUGAAAUCUGGCGCCUUCGGUGUCCGAGUUGUAAUUUGAAGAUUGUAACCUUGGGGUUGGCUCUUGUCUAUGUUUCUUGGAACAGGACGUCACAGAGGGUGAGAAUCCCGUGCGAUGAGAUGCCCAAUUCUAUGUAAGGUGCUUUCGAAGAGUCGAGUUGUUUGGGAAUGCAGCUCUAAGUGGGUGGUAAAUUCCAUCUAAAGCUAAAUAUUGGCGAGAGACCGAUAGCGAACAAGUACAGUGAUGGAAAGAUGAAAAGAACUUUGAAAAGAGAGUGAAAAAGUACGUGAAAUUGUUGAAAGGGAAGGGUUUGAGAUCAGACUCGAUAUUUUGUGAGCCUUGCCUUCGUGGCGGGGUGACCCGCAGCUUAUCGGGCCAGCAUCGGUUUGGGCGGUAGGAUAAUGGCGUAGGAAUGUGACUUUACUUCGGUGAAGUGUUAUAGCCUGCGUUGAUGCUGCCUGCCUAGACCGAGGACUGCGAUUUUAUCAAGGAUGCUGGCAUAAUGAUCCCAAACCGC
rnacentral:rRNA from 1 species